GGUUAAGCGACUAAGCGUACACGGUGGAUGCCCCCGGCAGUCAGAGGCGAUGAAGGACGUGCUAAUCUGCGAAAAGCGCCGGCGAGGUGAUAUGAACCCUUGACCCGGCGAUGUCCGAAUGGGGAAACCCAGUGUGUUCCGACACACUAUCGUUAACUGAAUACAUAGGUUAACGAGGCGAACCGGGGGAACUGAAACAUCUAAGUACCCCGAGGAAAAGAAAUCAACCGAGAUUCCCCCCAGUAGCGGCGAGCGAACGGGGAGCAGCCCGGAGUCUGAAUCAGCUUGUGUGUUAGUGGAACGGUCUGGAAAGUCCGACGGUACAGGGUGAUAGUCCCGUACACGAAAAUGCACAGGUUGUGAACUCGAAGAGUAGGGCGGGACACGUGGUAUCCUGUCUGAAUAUGGGGGGACCAUCCUCCAAGGCUAAAUACUCCUGACUGACCGAUAGUGAACCAGUACCGUGAGGGAAAGGCGAAAAGAACCCCGGCGAGGGGAGUGAAAAAGAACCUGAAACCGUGUACGUACAAGCAGUGGGAGCACCUUCGGGUGUGACUGCGUACCUUUGUAUAAUGGGUCAGCGACUUAUAUUCUGUAGCAAGGUUAACCGUAUAGGGGAGCCGAAGGGAAACCGAGUCUUAACUGGGCGUUAAGUUGCAGGGUAUAGACCCGAAACCCGGUGAUCUAGCCAUGGGCAGGUUGAAGGUUGGGUAACACUAACUGGAGGACCGAACCGACUAAUGUUGAAAAAUUAGCGGAUGACCUGUGGCUGGGGGUGAAAGGCCAAUCAAACCGGGAGAUAGCUGGUUCUCCCCGAAAGCUAUUUAGGUAGCGCCUCGUGAACUCAUCUUCGGGGGUAGAGCACUGUUUCGGCUAGGGGGCCAUCCCGGCUUACCAACCCGAUGCAAACUACGAAUACCGAAGAAUGUUAUCACGGGAGACACACGGCGGGUGCUAACGUCCGUCGUGAAGAGGGAAACAACCCAGACCGCCAGCUAAGGUCCCAAAGUCAUGGUUAAGUGGGAAACGAUGUGGGAAGGCACAGACAGCCGGGAUGUUGGCUUAGAAGCAGCCAUCAUUUAAAGAAAGCGUAAUAGCUCACUGGUCGAGUCGGCCUGCGCGGAAGAUGUAACGGGGCUAAACCAUGCACCGAAGCUGCGGCAGCGACACUAUGUGUUGUUGGGUAGGGGAGCGUUCUGUAAGCCGUUGAAGGUGUGCUGUGAGGCAUGCUGGAGGUAUCAGAAGUGCGAAUGCUGACAUAAGUAACGAUAAAGCGGGUGAAAAGCCCGCUCGCCGGAAGACCAAGGGUUCCUGUCCAACGUUAAUCGGGGCAGGGUGAGUCGACCCCUAAGGCGAGGCCGAAAGGCGUAGUCGAUGGGAAACAGGUUAAUAUUCCUGUACUUGGUGUUACUGCGAAGGGGGGGACGGAGAAGGCUAUGUCAGCCGGGCGACGGUUGUCCCGGUUUAAGCAUGUAGGCGGAGGUUCCGGUGUAAAUCCGGUACCUUGUUAACGCUGAGGUGUGAUGACGAGGCACUACGGUGCUGAAGUGAUAAAUGCCCUGCUUCCGAGGAAAAGCCUCUAAGCAUCAGGUAACACGAAAUCGUACCCCAAACCGACACAGGUGGUCAGGUAGAGAAUACCAAGGCGCUUGAGAGAACUCGGGUGAAGGAACUAGGCAAAAUGGUGCCGUAACUUCGGGAGAAGGCACGCUGAUAUGUAGGUGAAGCCCCUGCGGGCGGAGCUGAAAUCAGUCGAAGAUACCAGCUGGCUGCAACUGUUUAUUAAAAACACAGCACUGUGCAAACACGAAAGUGGACGUAUACGGUGUGACGCCUGCCCGGUGCCGGAAGGUUAAUUGAUGGGGUUAGCGGCAACGCGAAGCUCUUGAUCGAAGCCCCGGUAAACGGCGGCCGUAACUAUAACGGUCCUAAGGUAGCGAAAUUCCUUGUCGGGUAAGUUCCGACCUGCACGAAUGGCGUAAUGAUGGCCGGGGCUGUCUCCACCCGAGACUCAGUGAAAUUGAACUCGCUGUGAAGAUGCAGUGUACCCGCGGCAAGACGGAAAGACCCCGUGAACCUUUACUAUAGCUUGACACUGAACACUGGUCCUUGAUGUGUAGGAUAGGUGGGAGGCUUUGAAGUGUGGACGCCAGUCUGCAUGGAGCCGUCCUUGAAAUACCACCCUUUAAUGGCUGGUGUUCUAACGUAGACCCGUGAUCCGGGUUGCGGACAGUGUCUGGUGGGUAGUUUGACUGGGGCGGUCUCCUCCCAAAGAGUAACGGAGGAGCACGAAGGUUGGCUAAUCCCCGGUCGGACAUCAGGAGGUUAGUGCAAUGGCAUAAGCCAGCUUGACUGCGAGCGUGACGGCGCGAGCAGGUGCGAAAAGCAGGUCAUAGUGAUCCGGUGGUUCUGAAUGGAAGGGCCAUCGCUCAACGGAUAAAAAGGUACUCCGGGGAUAACAGGCUGAUACCGCCCAAGAGUUCAUAUCGACGGCGGUGUUUGGCACCUCGAUGUCGGCUCAUCACAUCCUCGGGGCUGAAGUAGGUCCCAAGGGUAUGGCUGUUCGCCAUUUAAAGUGGUACGCGAGCUGGGUUUAGAACGUCGUGAGACAGUUCGGUCCCUAUCUGCCGUGGGCGCUGGAGAAUUGAGGGGGGCUGCUCCUAGUACGAGAGGACCGGAGUGGACGCAUCACUGGUGUUCGGGUUGUCAUGCCAAUGGCACUGCCCGGUAGCUAAAUGCGGAAGAGAUAAGUGCUGAAAGCAUCUAAGCACGAAACUUGCCCCGAGAUGAGUUCUCCCUGAGACCUUGAGUCUCCUGAAGGAACGUUGAAGACGACGACGUUGAUAGGUCGGGUGUGUAAGCGCAGCGAUGCGUUGAGCUAACCGAUACUAAUGAACCGUGAGGCUUAACCUU
rnacentral:rRNA from 1 species